rnacentral:rRNA from 1 species
UACGUAGGGGCUAGCGUUGUCCGGCAUCAUUGGGCGUAAAGAGCGUGUAGGCGGCCCGGUAAGUCCGCUGUGAAAGUCGGGGGCUCAACCCUCGAAUGCCGGUGGAUACUGUCGGGCUAGAGUGUUGCAGGGGAGACUGGAAUUCCUGGUGUAGCGGUGAAAUGCGCAGAUAUCAGGAGGAACACCGGUGGCGAAGGCGGGUCUCUGGGCAACAACUGACGCUGAGGAGCGAAAGCGUGGGGAGCGAACAGG